GCGUUCUGCUGUGUCUUUAGUGGCGCUUCGUCGCAGCCGGAGGAAGGACAGUCUACAACAACGCCAUGGAACUAAACUCUGUUUGGCGCACUCUUCGCCAAGAGUCUGUUUGCUGUGAGGACUUCUUGCCAUGGUAUGGAUUCCCCUCUGCGUCGACAACGCGUUAGGAACAUGUAGAUGCACCAGGUGCGUUCACAGGUACGCACACUAGCUGCAGCGAUGCCGUGGACUGAGUUUCUUUGGGACAGAGACCAAUCAACUCCAGGCAGGCGUUCCGGUAUUCUUCGGUUAAAAGCGUUUACCCUUAGUGUUGGGCACAAACAAGGUGAAACCAAGGAGACAAGAGGAUAACUAACGCUGCUCGGUGUGUUCGUCCUUCCUUUAGUCUCCUUGGUUUAACCUUGUCUGUGCCCACCACUAGGGGUUUUAACGCAUUUCAACAAGGUGUACCAGCUACCCCGGAUUACCAGCCUUCAGCGGCAUACCUGCGUCUGACACCAGGGAAAUGCCAUUGUUGAACAGCUUCGUAUCACCAACCUUUCGCCGCUGUUCUACUGCAGACCACCUAUAGCCACCACGUGAAGAUGACGAGGACACAGAUCUCCAAGCAACCAUACUGCUCCUUCGGGAUGGCCGUACGCACGUCCAUUAAGCCUUACUGCAGCCACUUCUGCGACUCCAUUCUGAAGUAGCUUCAAUGAGCCAAGGGGACACAAGCUACGCCUCCGUCCCGAACAGCUGUAAGCAUGCGGCACAACUGUGAAUAUCGAAAUGGGAUCAAUAAAAUGAUUGAAUAUUUGU